AUUGAACGCUGGCGGCAUGCUUUACACAUGCAAGUCGAGCGGGGUGAGGGGGCAACUCUUCAUUCAGCGGCGGACGGGUGAGUAAUGCAUCGGAACGUAUCCCGUAGUGGGGGACAACCCAGCGAAAGCUGGGCUAAUACCGCAUAUGCUCUACGGAGGAAAGCGGGGGACCUGAAAGGGCCUCGCGCUAUGGGAGCGGCCGAUGUCCGAUUAGCUAGUUGGUGGGGUAAAGGCCCACCAAGGCGACGAUCGGUAGCUGGUCUGAGAGGAUGAUCAGCCACACUGGGACUGAGACACGGCCCAGACUCCUACGGGAGGCUG
rnacentral:rRNA from 1 species